GAUGAACGCUGGCGGUAUGCUUAACACAUGCAAGUCGAACGGACUCUUCGGAGUUAGUGGCGGACGGGUGAGUAACGCGUGAGAAUCUGGCUUUGGGUUCGGGACAACCACUGGAAACGGUGGCUAAUACCGGAUGUGCCGAGAGGUAAAAGAGAAAUUGCCUGAAGAUGAGCUCGCGUCUGGUUAGCUAGUUGGUGAGGUACAGGCUCACCAAGGCAGCGAUCAGUAGCUGGUCUGAGAGGAUGAGCAGCCACACUGGGACUGAGACACGGCCCAGACUCCGACGGGAGGCAGCGGGGGGGAAUUUUCCGCAAGGGGCGAAAGCCUGACGGAGCAAUACCGCGUGAGGGAAGAAGGCUCUUGGGUUGUAACCCUCUUUUCUUAGGGAAGAACAAAAUGACGGUACCUAAGGAAUCAGCAUCGGCUAACUCCGUG
rnacentral:rRNA from 1 species